ensembl:lncRNA
UUUUUUUUUUUCAGCCAUGCUCUGUCUACAGAUUGCUUCAGAAUUUCAGUGUCUUCAACCUCAAUUCUCUCUAUUUUUAUUUUUCUCCAUCCAAACACUUCCAAGAGCAAAGAGGAUAGUUGCUGGGAUGUGGUGAAGGCUCUGAAAGGAAAAAAUAAAUUAACAUCAAAUGGGCUUCUCCUCCUCCCACUCCGCAUGCAGGAAAUCUUAAGGAGACCACAAGACACUAUUAGUACUUCCUCCCAACACAUUCUGUAUCCCAAGAACCCUUCCUAUUCCUCUGCAACCUCCAAUAACUUCGCUUAAAAUAAAACUCCUCAUUUGGUGUUUCUUCGUGAAAUAAUUGGUGGUGUUCUCUGGAAGGUGCAAAUUGAUGAAUUCUUUCAGUUUCUCUUAAUGUCUUAAAGAACUGGGAUUGUAAGAUGAUUUUUGGGGUCUAUUUAAGGACAGCCUACUUUAAUUAAUAUCCAGUGCAUUCAGCUCUUGGCAUGUGCUGUUUUAUGCUGUUACACACUGGUAUAUGCUUGGUGGCACCUUUCUUGUCCAGGGUACCCUACUAAUAAAGAGGGAGUGUCAGUAAAAUGUCAGCACCUACUGCAUUGUCAUAUCAGUGAAUAUUCUGUAGCAAAUUAGAGGCUUAGGGUUACCUUACUUUUCUUAGUUCAGACAGCAGAUGAGGACUAAUAUAUGGAAGAAUACUCUACUGGACAGGGCAGGCAACUGCUCCUGGCUGUAGCUGUAUUGUGUGUCCUCCCUCACCUUCACCAGACACCUCUGAGAUGCUGCCCAGCUGACAAAAAGGUGAAUGUAAAGUUCAAUGUGCAAAGAUUUUUUUUUCUGAAUUGAAUUACCGACUUGUUUUACUGUGAUUAAGGAAAGAAACUCCUGACGCUUGUGGCUGAGAGAGUGGAGGGAUAGCACUUUAGCUGCACUGUGCUAAUGUUUGUAGCUUUUCUUUGUCCUGUACAAGAGAAAAUGUCUGUGUUUAGAUCUCACUGAAAGCAGCCAAAAAACUCUUGUCACUACAUUGUAUUAGCUUUGAUCUGGUAUAUUUGAUUAUGUUGGGGUUUUUUUUUGUUUAUUACAGGUUCUCAAUUUUCCUUCUUUGCUCUAAAAACUAUACUCAGAAUAUUGAAUCACUUUUCUCCAUAUCAGUGAAUCUGCUUAUUGACAUCCUGUUAGAGGCCUGUGCAAAUAGUCUUCAAAAAGGAAUAAAUGAAAGACACCGGUGAAAAGCAAAGUUUGACCAGAGGGCAAAGUUCUGUCAAAAACACUUUAUCUUUCUUUGUUACUGAGACAUGACCAGAUGUUUGUUUAUGACAAAAUGCCUGCAUUGGGAUUUUUUCAAAGCCCAGAUGAGGAAAACUGUAUCUAAUUGCUUCUAGGAGUGCAGUCAUGUCCUAGCUGCAACCUGGGUCAGUGUGUCCUCAAAUCCUAUUUCGAGCUUCUGGGAGUGGAAUAAAAGUGUCUGUGUUUUUGCUGAAAGGAGAUAGGGCUGUCAGUUCAGGCAUACACUGAACAUCUGCUCUGCCUGAGCCCUGUGGUUUAACUAGAUUAAAAUGCCACAUUAAAAUGCUCAUCAGUCAAUCAGAACACUUCCUCACUCCCAGGGACGGAACAUCACGCUCAGCGCUGCACUUCCCAGGGAAGCCAAUGCAUCGUGCUAGGAGGAAAAAAUCAGAGCCAUGAAAGGUUUCACAAUUGUGGUGUGUUUGGCCUGUGUGACAUCACAGAUUCGUGUUUAACCUAGGAUCAAACAACUUGGAAUUUGUUCUCCUAAAUGAUUUUAAAUCUAGCUAAUUAUUUGUAUUAUUAAUUUUGAUUAUUUUAAUCUUGGUUAUUAACUCUAGUUAGCAAAAUGAAAUGUUAUGCAUGUUCUAGCUUUGAGAGAGUUCCCAAUCAAUAAAUCUGUAUCACAGACCACAAAUUUGUGUUGUUUCAGUGGCACAGAGAUCAUUUUCCUUUUAUUUAAACCCCUGGAUAGCUAUUUAAGACUACCAGACUAUGGGUCUUAUAAAUUAUAAAAGUAGGAAUUGCCAGGAAAGCUCUGUUUUAUUAAUAAAAAGAAAGGCAAUACUAAUAGAAAAAGCAACCCAGACAAAUUAAGAUAGUCCCCUUCAGCUGACUUUUAGCUGUGAGCAAGUUGUCUAUGGCAAAAGGUUAUUUCUGUAAACAAUAAACAGUUUGUGAACAGUUAUGUAAAUGUUGGUCUGAAGUACCUUAUGUGAUGAUUUGCAAGGCCUUUUGCUGUAUAGAUUUUGAAUUGCCUAGAAUUAAAUGCCUGCUUGCAUUUAUUAAAGCAUUUAAAUAAUUUGAUUUUGGAUUUUUGGUGAAGAACAGAAGGUAGAAAUGCGUAUUUUCUUUUGCACAGUUCAUGUAGCAAUAUAAUUUCUGAAGUCUGUUUAAUGUGGACCAACCAUAAAUGUAUUCAUUGUGUUGAAGCACAGUGUUAAUGAAAACAAUUCUAUAAAUCAAGGUACAGCAAGUUGAUGUCCCCUUUCAGAAACACCCACUGCAUGUUGAGGAAACAUCUGGUGCGAUUUGGAAUUUUUUUGUCAAUUAAUUUAAUAACCAAAUGUGGAAAAGAUCUUACUGCAAGUAUUUCAAAAUUUUGCUGAUGGAAGUUACAGAUAUGAAUUGAGAGACUGGAAUCAAGGGACAGAUUAUGGCUUUUUGGAGGCUGAAGUACCUUAUAUCCUAUGGAUCCUGAAUGCUUCUCCUGCCCCCCUUCUCAUUCCUUCCCUCUCAAAACCCUGGAACUGCAGUGGGAGGAAGGUUUCCUUCCUGGGAAGCAUCUGUGAUCUUUUCUUUUGCAGACAGGGCAUUUCUUGGAAGAUCAGACAGCUGUGCUUAGAAGGCUUGGCUUGGCCUGGCCUGCUGCACCUUUCUCUGAGUAAUAUUUGACCACUCCUUUAUUGGGGUGCUGCUGAAAGAGUCCUUGCAGUGACAACUCUCACUGAAAUGAAUGAAUGUUCAUGUUGCACUGAAAACAUCACAUUACAUUGGAUAAAUGCCAUGUUGUCAACUUAAAAAAGUGUGCUAGACUAAUUUGAAAAAUUAAAAAAGAAUUGAUAAUUCGGUACUAUCAGAUGAUCUCAUGAUUAGGGACAGUAAGAACAGCAUUUAAGUGUCUGCACAUUUAUUUUUCCUACCUGUAGUGGUUCCAAAAAGUCACAUUUACAGGCAACAGUGUCAUUCUGUGUAAAGCUCUGAGGAGGAAAGCUCUGUUCCUAAAUGGAAGAUGAUGAUUAAUGCACUGUAAAAUUACUCCUGAGCUUGCCUUGUGAUACUUUCUCUAUGCUGUGACACCUUGUUCAGUGUUUUACUUACACUUGAGAAUUUCAGACAAGCCUGUAGUAAUUACAGUGUAUUAUCAUCUGCAUUUCUGCUACAUAGACUCUCAUUAAAUGCCUCUUAAACAAUUUUUUGCAUUUUUUUUUCCUUUAAGGGUUGCUGCAAAUGACAUCAUUUUUAUGUGAAUUUCAGUUCCCAACACCUUGAAUGAUAACACCUUGUAAAGUAGUUUAACAUGACAGAAAUACUUAAAUAAAAUUUGGGGUUGGUUUCAGAGAUGUCCCCUUUAGGAUACUUCGGUAAAUUCAGCCCCUAGACUGACACCCUUUUCUCUGUAUAAAUCUAAUUUUCCAGUUUUAACAUUUCUUCAUGGUGCAAAUUAAUUGCUUUAAAAGGAAAAACUGCAACAGUCUUAUGCAUCUACAGUGACUUUCCCUAGCCUUUGGAAAGUACAUGAAUUUGCCAUUAAGCAUCAGGUAUGCUCUAGUCUGUCACAUACUUGGGUUUGUUAUAUCCAUUAAUAAGAAACAAAAUCUCCAGUAUUCAAUCUUUCUCACUAUUUGUAUCUUAUUUUCAUCUCACCCUUUUACCUUUGGCUUUGGUUUUUUUUUUUUUUUUUUUUUUUCACUUUGGCCAGUUUAUUUGCAACCACUAAAUAGAAAUGCUGCCACUCCUGCUGCCCAGCUCAGCAGACAGGGAAUGGUGGAAUCACCACGUUGGGCUGUGCCUAUUCAGCCUCUGCUGCUUGUGCCAUUUGUUAUAACAGAUGUCCAUCAUAUCUCUAAAAUCCUGUGAAUGAAGUCUGUCCAGGUUCUUAAAAUGGAUGUGAAUACUACAGGUUUCUUAUAGCUCUCUUUAUUCUGUCAUUUAAGCACAAUUAUUUUUCACAAUAUGUUUCUUUAACCCAGCAUAAACCAGCACUCUCCAGCCUGAUGUAAUCCUUCAAAUUCUGGGCAGAACCUAGGAUUCUCAAGUGAUUCACUUAAAUGUCAUGUAUUUUCAAGCCCAAAAAAGAGGCAUUGUUUUAACAACACCUAAAAAAAAAAAAAAAAAAAAAAGAAAAGUGAAAAAAAGAAGAUACUAGAACAGCAUAGAUUCUGUGCACACAGAAAUAUGUGUGUGGAAUGCCUUACUCCUAACAAAAUAUUUGCAUCAUUUCUUCUCCCCAGGUUCCAGCUAACCCUGGAUGGAACUGCAUACAUAACACAGGGAUGACUUAUGAGAGCAGGGAACAUUUAUCCUCACAAGGCAGGAAAAGGAAAGAACCUCACCCUGUUAGUCACUGUAGUGGUUAGAACAUUUGGUGGUUACAGGGAAUGGUGGCCUUUGCUGCAGCCCAUUGUGUAAUGGGCAAACUCAGUUUGCAAUCAGUUAGAAACUGCUCUCUAAAAUAAAGCAGAU